UGUUGAUCGGAUCAGAGUUACUGGAGAGAUUUGUCGCUCUGAGAAAAAUUGAGAGGUUUGUUUAGUCUAAUGGCCGCGACGAAACGGAAGGAUAUCAGCAUCCGAUGGAUCCAUAUCUAGACGGUUCUUCUGUGAAUCGGAUCAGUGAUUCGAUUGUUUAAGUCUCCGGUGACGCGCCUUCUUCCUCGAUGGUCGUCCGGCUCUAUCUCUGGGAAGCGAUGGCUCUUUCAGCAUCGGUUUUGCCGGUUUUUGUCUCCGGGAGGGGAUGGCUUCUCUAGCAUCUCGAUCGCCGGCUUUGUGUCUCCGGGAAGGGAUGGCUUCUCUAGCAUCUCGAUCGCCGGCUUUGUGUCUUCGGGAAGGGAUGGCUUCUCUAGCAUCUCGAUCGCCGGCUUUUUCUCAGGUAGAUCUACCAUCCAGAGCGCUUCAGUUGUUCUUCUUGCCUCUCUUUCUAAGUCUCAGAGGACUUUCUCCUCCACUCGGUUGUAUGUGGCGUUUGAAAGUAUCUUGAAUGAUUAUGAACGAUUGUAGGCGGUUGUUAGCUUUGUGGGUCUCGUAGAUCCUUCAGUGUGUUUGGUUCAUUGGCUCGAGCUUUGAGUAUAAUGUUCAGGUGGAACAGAGAGUAUCCGGUUAGUCUAUGCCGUCGACGUUGAUCCGUAGAAUCGUCGUGAUAGCUCCGGAGGUUUCGAUUACGACACGGGUUACUGUCUCGUGUUGGUAAUGAGUUUUUUUUUGUGGGCUUUAGGCCCAAGUUUGGUUUUGCAAGUGAUCGGUUUGUCUUUGUGCUUUUUAUUUAUGGUUGUUGUAGUCUCGAACUUGGUUUUUAUUUGGGCUUUCGAUCCAUUAAUAAAAUUCUAGACGACAAAAAAAAAAAUUUUAAAAAAUAAAGUUCCUUUUUAAAACAUGAUCUUACACAACAUAGAAUAUAUUUUCAAAGUAAUCAAAAUAUUUUAAAUAGAAUAACUCUAUAACUCCAUAUCCUUUUAGUAAACCAAAAAUAUUCUACUUUAUCAAUAUAAAAAAUUCUUAUAUUUCUCAAAUUUUAGCUUGCUUGUUAAUUUUUGUUAUAUUUGUACAACCUAAUAUAACUAAUCAAAAUAUCCAAGUAAAUCUGAACAUGUUUAAUAUUAUUUAAAAUAAUUAUUUGCUUACUUUUUAAUAAAUUUAAGGUAUAAGAUUAAUUAGAUUUUUUUUUCUGCAUAGACACGUAAUAGUACUGUUUUUAAUUAAACAUAGGUUUUGUAAAUUAUUUUGGUCAAUGAAAAUCCUCUAACAAAAAAAAGUAAAUUAUUUUGGUCAACAUGAUUAUCUACAAAACUCCAAGUUUCCAACAAAAUAAAUAUAUUUGCAAAGAGUGUCGGUUUGGAUAUUUAUUGGUAUUUCAUAAAAAAAUAUUAUUUUAUAUUUUAUGGUAAAAUUUCAAAUAAAAUUUUGAUUUCAUCCCAUUAUUUUAAUAUAUUAAUUUGAAUUUUUCAAUAAUAUUUAAACAAAAUCUAAAAUAAAAAUUUUAAAUAAUUUUUAAUAUAUGUGAAAACUUUGAAAUAAUAUAUGUGAAAACUUUGAAAUAAUAUUAUUUGUGAAACCGGGGAGCGAGUAAUACACAUUUUAAUAGUCUCGAUUCUCGAAAACGCUCUAGGCUUCGAUAUUGUUGGCAGGCACUAGCACCCUCCGCCAUUCUUUUGUCUUCUUGUGUCUCCUUUUAUAGAAUUUGUCUUCUUUCAUUUCAAACUUGACUCAUCACAUCAACCAUAUGUUUUUUAUAUAUAACUAUUCAGCAAUUACCAAACACAUAAUUGAAUAGAUCUCAUAUUAGACAACGUAAUGGGAAAGGGUCAGAACUUGACCAUUGAAAAAGUCACCGGGGUAUGGUAAUAGACACAUAGAAUAUUGUUCAACUGUUCAAUUUUGCAUAAAGAAAAUACUUCUUUGGAAUUAUUUUUAACAUUGACCAACGUUGUUGAAUAUAAGGAUCGUGGUGUCUACUGUGUCUAGGUCCAAACCGAUUCGUAACUACUAUUCAUAUAUUUUCUGUAUAAUAAUUAUCUACAGAUAAUUCGACCAAAUCCUAAGAUGUGUGAUUCCGAUGGGUUAAUAGUUAAUACUUGUCGGUAAUAGCAUUAAUGUUAUGAGAAUAAAUAUGUGAAAUUUGUGGCUGAAAGUUAAUGCAGUUUAUAAACCUUUUUCUUACUGAACUUUUUCACAGUUUAUGAACUUGUGGUUGAAAAUAGACGACUAUUACCCAUAUGUGUGUUUAAGUAGGUGAAAAAGUUAAACCUCGAAGAAAAAAAUAGUAGGUCAAAUAAUAGUGCUCAAGUUUAGCAUAAUAGUAAUGCGCCAGGUAAAAUUCAAGAAAACAUUCUUGGUGGGUUUGUCGCAGUCGGAGUGAUGAUUUAAACGGAUAAAAAGGUUUGGGAAAAAAGUUGAUCGUAGCAAUAAGAAAAUGACAAUUCUUUAGAAUAUUCUUUUUUAAGUUUUUAUCACAAAAAUAAACCUCAAAAAUUAAAAUAAUUAAAAUAGCAUUUUUCUUGAAAAAUUUAAUUUAAUUUUAUUUUUAAAAAUUUGAAAUCAUAUACCCAAAACUCCACUCCUCAAUUCUAAACCAUAAACUCUAAACUCUAAACCCUAAACUCUAAACCCUAAAAACUAAAUCCUAAACUCUAAACCUUAAACUCUAAACCUCAAAUCCUAUCCGUUAACUCUAAAUUUUAAUGUCUAGAUUAAUUAAAGUAUAAGUGUAUAUUUGUGACAAAAACUUUUUUACGUCUAUCCUAGAGAUUUCUCCUAAGAAAAAGAAAAUCUGAUGAUUAAGUAUUUGAUUAAAUUACAAAAGUAAAAGAAGGGAAGAAGGGCCACCAUUUUAGUAAUCUUUUGUUUUAUUUUUUGUUCGCUAUGAAUAUUUCAAUGAUGUUUAGUGCAAGUGUAUUUAUGCGGCAAAAAAACUCUCCCGAUUUGUUAAUAGAGGUCGUUAUUACUGGUCUUCAAUUUUUUUCAACUGGUCUUUAUUUUAUUUUAUUUUUUAUUUUUGAAUUAAAUGUUAAAUUUAACUAAAAAAAAAGACUGUUCUUACAUCAAAAGAUACAACAUUUAAUUGAACACCAAUUUAAACUCUAUUAAUCUAAAACCUCCAACUCCUAUUUGCUUUUUUUAAUCUUCUCUUGUGUUAAACCAGUAGA